GAUGAACGCUGGCGGCGUGCCUAAUACAUGCAAGUCGAGCGAACUGAUUAGAAGCUUGCUUCUAUGACGUUAGCGGCGGACGGGCGAGUAACACGUGGGCAACCUGCCUGUAAGACUGGGAUAACUUCGGGAAACCGAAGCUAAUACCGGAUAGGAUCUUCUCCUUCAUGGGAGAUGAUUGAAAGAUGGUUUCGGCUAUCACUUACAGAUGGGCCCGCGGUGCAUUAGCUAGUUGGUGAGGUAACGGCUCACCAAGGCAACGAUGCAUAGCCGACCUGAGAGGGUGAUCGGCCACACUGGGACUGAGACACGGCCCAGACUCCUACGGGAGGCAGCAGUAGGGAAUCUUCCGCAAUGGACGAAAGUCUGACGGAGCAACGCCGCGUGAGUGAUGAAGGCUUUCGGGUCGUAAAACUCUGUUGUUAGGGAAGAACAAGUAUGAGAGUAACUGCUCGUACCUUGACGGUACCUAACCAGAAAGCCACGGCUAACUACGUGCCAGCAGCCGCGGUAACAC
rnacentral:rRNA from 1 species